rnacentral:rRNA from 1 species
AUUGAACGCUGGCGGCAGGCUUAACACAUGCAAGUCGAACGAGUGGCGGACGGGUGAGUAAUGUAUGGUAAACUGCCCCAUGGAGGGGGAUCACUACUUGAAAACGUCGCUAAUACCGCAUACUAUCGGAUCAGACCAGAUGGGAUUAGCUAGUUGGUGGGGUAACGGCUCACCUAGGCGACGAUCCCUAGCUGGUCUGCAAGGAUGACCAGCCACACUGGAACUGAGACACGGUCCAGACUCCUACGGGAGGCAGCAGUGGGGAAUUUUGCACAAGGGGCACAAGCCUGAUGCAGCCAUGCCGCGUGUAUGAAGAAGGCCUUCGGGUUGUAAAGUACUUUCAGCGGGGAGGCGUUACUCGCAGAAGAAGCACCGGCUAACUCCGUGCCAGCAGCCGCGGUAAUAC